rnacentral:rRNA from 1 species
UUAAAUUGAAGAGUUUGAUCAUGGCUCAGAUUGAACGCUGGCGGCAGGCCUAACACAUGCAAGUCGAACGGUAACAGGAAGCAGCUUGCUGCUUCGCUGACGAGUGGCGGACGGGUGAGUAAUGUCUGGGAAACUGCCUGAUGGAGGGGGAUAACUACUGGAAACGGUGGCUAAUACCGCAUAACGUCGCAAGACCAAAGAGGGGGACCUUCGGGCCUCUUGCCAUCAGAUGUGCCCAGAUGGGAUUAGCUUGUUGGUGAGGUAACGGCUCACCAAGGCGACGAUCCCUAGCUGGUCUGAGAGGAUGACCAGCCACACUGGAACUGAGACACGGUCCAGACUCCUACGGGAGGCAGCAGUGGGGAAUAUUGCACAAUGGGCGCAAGCCUGAUGCAGCCAUGCCGCGUGUAUGAAGAAGGCCUUCGGGUUGUAAAGUACUUUCAGCGGGGAGGAAGGUGUUGUGGUUAAUAACCACAGCAAUUGACGUUACCCGCAGAAGAAGCACCGGCUAACUCCGUGCCAGCAGCCGCGGUAAUACGGAGGGUGCAAGCGUUAAUCGGAAUUACUGGGCGUAAAGCGCACGCAGGCGGUCUGUCAAGUCGGAUGUGAAAUCCCCGGGCUCAACCUGGGAACUGCAUUCGAAACUGGCAGGCUUGAGUCUUGUAGAGGGGGGUAGAAUUCCAGGUGUAGAGGUGAAAUGCGUAGAGAUCUGGAGGAAUACCGGUGGCGAAGGCGGCCCCCUGGACAAAGACUGACGCUCAGGUGCGAAAGCGUGGGGAGCAAACAGGAUUAGAUACCCUGGUAGUCCACGCCGUAAACGAUGUCUACUUGGAGGUUGUGCCCUUGAGGCGUGGCUUCCGGAGCUAACGCGUUAAGUAGACCGCCUGGGGAGUACGGCCGCAAGGUUAAAACUCAAAUGAAUUGACGGGGGCCCGCACAAGCGGUGGAGCAUGUGGUUUAAUUCGAUGCAACGCGAAGAACCUUACCUGGUCUUGACAUCCACAGAACUUUCCAGAGAUGGAUUGGUGCCUUCGGGAACUGUGAGACAGGUGCUGCAUGGCUGUCGUCAGCUCGUGUUGUGAAAUGUUGGGUUAAGUCCCGCAACGAGCGCAACCCUUAUCCUUUGUUGCCAGCGAUUCGGUCGGGAACUCAAAGGAGACUGCCAGUGAUAAACUGGAGGAAGGUGGGGAUGACGUCAAGUCAUCAUGGCCCUUACGACCAGGGCUACACACGUGCUACAAUGGCGCAUACAAAGAGAAGCGACCUCGCGAGAGCAAGCGGACCUCAUAAAGUGCGUCGUAGUCCGGAUUGGAGUCUGCAACUCGACUCCAUGAAGUCGGAAUCGCUAGUAAUCGUGGAUCAGAAUGCCACGGUGAAUACGUUCCCGGGCCUUGUACACACCGCCCGUCACACCAUGGGAGUGGGUUGCAAAAGAAGUAGGUAGCUUAACCUUCGGGAGGGCGCUUACCACUUUGUGAUUCAUGACUGGGGUGAAGUCGUAACAAGGUAACCGUAGGGGAACCUGCGGUUGGAUCACCUCCUUACCUUAAAGAAGC